rnacentral:lncRNA from 1 species
CUUCCCUCAGCCUGUAGAACUUCCGGCAGCAACUGCAAUUAGGGGUAGUCCAGUGCUAAAUUGUCGCAGCCUUGAAAAUAUUCUGCUUCGUUAUUUCGGGCACUCCACAGAUUCUGUUGCGAAGGCAGCCAUCUUUAGUUCGUCUUUCCUAGAGAGUAGUGUGUGAGCUGCAAAGUUGCUUUACAUCUUUGCCAGCAGCUGAUAAGGGUGGGCCAUAAACCCAAUUUGUGUCCCUUGGGCUGGUGAUUCUGCUGGAAAUCCUGAUCAGCUGCUUAGCUUUUCAGCCGCAACUUUGUUCGUUGAGAAGAUUCUGCUCCAUUUUUUCUGAUUAUGGAUUCUGUUCAGAAGGAAGCCGAAUUUUAAGUCAUCGUUCUAGGAUAGAUUCAGCUCCAUUUUCUCUGGUGGUAGAUCUCCAUGGAUGCUAUUGAGAAGGUACUUCUCAAAGUCCACGAGGACAAGGACAUCUUUCCACCGAAUGCCACCUGGUUUAUAACAAAAGCAUGAAAAACAAACAGGAAUUUCUCAAUGCAGAAAGGACUGAAGCUGUCAAAGGUGUGCUUUUUUUCUGCACAAACAAGUUUCCAUUGAAUGAUAGAAUAAAGAGAUACUGACUUCCCCGGAGCCUCCAAACUUGAGUAGUCAGGACAUUCUCACUCCAAAUUUUAUUCCAGGUGUACUUAUUGGAGCUGACCAGCCUUCACAUGCUGGGUUUGAGAAUGCCUGGACUCUGCCCGUCAAUUCUCUCCUUCUGGGGAAUAUGUUUGAAGCAGGCAUUGGGAUCCGUGGAAGGCUUGUUAAAUCCAAAUAGAUUGGUCCUACUCCAUCCGCAGAGUUGCUGACGAGGUGCGUCCAGGCCUUCUCCUCACCUCUCAGGGAGAUAUACCAUGCAGUGCCUUCAGUUAUGGUGUUGUGACUGAGGAUGCUUCGGUCAGACAUGUCCCUGAAAACCUGCAUAGAGGAAUCUCUUGCCCCAAGUUUCAUUCCAAGUAUUUAAAUUGGAAUUGAGCAUCCUGUCAUGCCAGGGAUGAGAAUGCCUGGGUUACAUCAGUUAGCCCUCUCCUCUUGAGGAAUGGCAUAUUACCCAUUUUAGAGGAUGUCAACACAACUUGGAAAGGCCUUUGUACUGAUGCUUACAGUACAUUACAGUUUAAGAACACAGAUGAAAAAUCACCAAGUAAAAAAGGAGCAUAGGGAGGAAUCCAGGAGAAACCAGGCUCAAGCUUCCAGCCACCCUCUUCCAGUGGAGUCAAGUGCACUGCACUUAAUUCUCCCAGCCAGGUGUGCGGCCACCUGUGCCAAGUGUUCCCAACCAGCUGCACUUCAAGGGAAGUUAUUGAAUAUGUCCUAUCCAACUAAAACAAGGAAAUGAUGAAAAAAAUAAAAUCACUUUCCAGAGGCCUCAGGGCUAACUGGAGACAGAGCUCAGACUGCAACUGAGAAAAGUUGGACUCCAAAACCUGUACUCUGAGCUUUACUGCAUGAGAAAGUUAUUGAAAUGUGCCUUGUGACAUUCAGAAUAAGUGACUUUUCAGAGGUCUCAGAGUCAGUAAGAGACAGAACUCAGAUUGUAACCAAGAAGAGCUGAACUCCAAACUUCUGUGUCCGGAAUUGGUGGGUUCUUGGUCUCACUGACUUCAAGAAUGAAGCGGCAGACCCUCGCGCAUUUCAGUUCCUUGGUGCUCCUUGGAUUUGAGGAAAUUCCAAUAUUUCCUUUGGAGUCACAUGGAUACUGCCUAAUUUUCCCAGCAGGGAUGUAUGAAAACACAUGCUUGUUUUCAAGUGAAGAUAAUCCCAUCACCAAUUCUGCUUUAGCUGCAUAAAGAAAGCUGAUCAAAAACAUGCCUGGUGGAUUUAUUGUUAUUGGUUCUGUUGAUAAAUAACCUAUUUUUAUAUAUUAGGACCCUUUUUUCUAUAAACAUAGUUGAAAUAUUUCCUAAGUCUCCUGCCUUGCAUUAUUCUAGCAGGUUGUUCCCUUAUUACUGUCCUGAUUAGUGGUACUUCUGAUAUUAUUCUUCUGAAUGCUAUGUUGAAGCUUUUAGAAAUGUGAAAUAAGGGGCCAAAACUUUCUGGUGUCAUGGGCUUGGUAACUAAACAGGUCUUUGUUUUGGGUUCUAGAUGACUAUCUGGAAAAUGCGGCCAAGGGCUCUUCUCACAACC